rnacentral:rRNA from 1 species
UAGCGGUUGGGUGUAACAGUACGAAUGGUGUGAUAGUUGCGGAUAGCGUGUGUGUAGUAGGAGGAUUAAUACCAGUCUAUUCGUCGGCAGCGUAAGAUGGGUGUAAGAGACAGAAGAUGAGCAGCGAAGGCGGCUCUUUGGUAAAAACUGACGUUGAGGGACGAAAGUGUAGGUAGCAAACAGGAUUAGAUACCCUGGUAGUCUACACUGUAAAUUCUGAGUGCUGUAAUUUAACAUAAAUUAUGUUGGAUUUUUUAAGCUAACGCCAUAAGCACUCCGCCUGAGUAGUACGGUCGCAAGAUUGGAACUCAAAGGAAUUGACGGGGGCCUACAACAAGUGGUGGAGCAUGUGGUUUAAUGCGAUAAUCCGCGCAAAACCUUACCAACCUUUGACAUAUAAAUUACUUAAAAUUUAUUUUAUAAUAAUAUAUAAAAUUUAAGUUAUAUUUUUUACAGGUGUUGCACGACUGUCGUCAGCUCGUGUCGUAAGAUGUUUGGUUCAUUCCUUUAACGAGCGCAACUCUUAUCUUUAUUACGUUUUUUACUUUUAAAUAACUCAUUAUAAGUGAGUUUUUUAAAGCUUUAAAAGAUACUAUCAAUGAUAAAUUGAAGGAAGGUGAGAAUUAAGUCAAGUCCCUGUGGCCCUUAUAGGUUGGGCUACACACGUGCUACAAUGAAAAUUACAGAAAGUUACAAAAUAAGUUAAUUCAAGUUAAUCUUUAAAAAUUUUCCCAGUUCGGAUUAUAAACUGCAACUCGUUUAUAUGAAGUUGGAAUCACUAGUAAUCGCAAAUCAGCAUGUUGCGGUGAAUAUGUAUCUUGGCCUUGUACACACCGCCCGUCACAUGCAGAGAAUUAGUUUUAUUUGAAGUUUUUAAUUGUAAUAUUAAAAUUUAGUUUUUUAAUUUACAAAAAACCAUUGAGAAAUUAAUAAUUUGGAUGAAGUCGUAACAAGGUAGCUGUACGGGAACGUGUAGCUG